AAGACGAAGAACGCCUAAAAAGCCUAAUCGAAUUAGAACUAAGACAAACAGUUCUAAAUCAUCAGUAUAUGUCACAAAUGUCACCCCACAGCCCACUUCAGCUUCAAUUGUGGAGGUUACAAAUGGGUUUUCAGUGAUUACUAAGACAACUGCCUCCUCUCAAACUAAAAUAGAAACAUCUUCAUGGGCCAAAAGUGCAGGAGUCAAGAUGAAUAUUACUGUUCCAUUAACUGGCAGCCAACCACCGUCACUAGGCAAAAUGACUCAUGAGGAGAACACAGAUCCAUUAUACAGUGGCAGGAAUAACAAAAUCCAUACAUCCAAAUUCCAUGAAAAUGUAUCUAUGACAAAGGGUAGACACUCAUCUGAUUCUAAAGCCAGCUACAAGAACUUAAUAAACACUGCAAUAGUACCAGUGUCUCCAUACACAACUAACUACUACUACAACUAUCCCGUACCCCACUAUUACAAAUCCUCCUGUGAAGGCAGACGUUCAUGAGUGGUUUACAAGCAUGCAUACCCCUGCAGCUAAACAUUUUGAAGAGACUCAACAGGGAAAAAUUACAAGAGACCCCAGCUCGAUCCCAACAUCAGACAGCUCUCAUGCACAAUUAGAGGAACUUCCAGGUGCAAGUCCAGAUAACACAAACAUCCAAUAUAACCCCACAGAGACUGAAAACAUUUUUGUCCUACAAAGAGCUUGAAGGAAGGUUUCCUGUGAGGCCAUUCACUACAUCUUCCCCAUUACUAAAGACAACAUUACUGCCACAACAACAACUACAGCAGCUCUGAAAUUUUCUGUAGUACAUACCCAUAUGUUUUACCCAAAUACACCCACGUCUGAAGGCAUGCUAGGUGAACUAGACAAUGCUAAUCACAUUCCUGACAGUGACAAAGAUAUAUUUGUAAUCCCAGGCAAAGAAAUUAUUAGUAAGAUAGAACUUCACAGAACAAAUAGCAGGGCAGGACCUCCAGUCACACAAUUUCCUUAUCAGUUAGCCAGUGUUUCUGAGGAAACAGUAUCUCAAAAAUUAGAGGAAGACACCCACAAAAAGACCACUACAAAAACACCCAUGACUCAACCACUUCACUCAACUUCAACAGUAUCUUCACCCAAGCAAAAACUUCCUGGUAAGCCAGGUGUUCAGGGUAGAGGAAGCUCUUUGAUACAUUAUGCCACAUCAGGAGGACCUCAACAAAGACCAACAGCAGUGCCCGAGGGUAGUAGCAAACCUCGGAUCAUCAGCACAGACAUUAGAUCAGUAACUGCACAUGCUGAGACUGAUGCCUAUUUGCCUUGUGUGGCUGUGGGGAAACCCAUUCCCUUCCUUUCAUGGACUAAAGUAUCCACAGGGGCGAAGUGUAACACAGAAUACCAAGGUACAAAGAAUUUGUAAGUCUCCUCUAAUGGUACACUCAUAAUCAAGAUUGAAGGAUCAUCUCCAGAAGGUACAACAAUAGAGGGCAGGAGGGCACCAGUAAAGGAUGUGUUGUACUCAGUCACAAUGUCACAGAUGCCCAUUGAGGCUACUGAGUACAACUUGGAUAUAAGAGCUCUGAAUUCUGAAGACACGAGACAUGUUAUAUACCAGAUAGCGGCCUCCUAGAAAC
rnacentral:lncRNA from 1 species